GCUCGGUGUUUUCCGACACCCCCAUCGUGGUGUAGGCGGCGGGGCGUUCCCGAGCGGCGCUGGCGGUGCCCAUGGGUGCGUGUUGGCGGGGGCGGGCGGCUGCGUCCCGGCGUUCCCGGARCGGCUCGGCGGAGGGCAUCCGCGCCCGGGGCGGCGGGGAAGGAGGAUGAGCCGGACUCUGGGACAGCCACCGGCACCGCGGGGAAGGAUGGGCUGGACUCUGGGAAAGCUGUCCAGGAUGAUGGGAAAGGAGGAUGAGCCAGACUGCGGGAAAGCUGCCGGGACCAUGGGGAAGGACGAUGGGCCGGACCACGGGAAAGCCACCGGGAUUGCGGGAAAGAACGAUGGGCCGGACUCCAGGAAAGCCGCGGGGCCCACGGGGAAGGAGGAUGAGCUGGGCUCCGGGAAAGCUGCAGGGACCACGGGGAAGGAGGAUGAGCCGGACCACGGGAAAGCCACCGGGACCACAGGGAAGCUGCUGGGACCGUGGGGAAGGAGGACGGACCGGACUGCGGGAAAGCCGCUGGGACCACAGGGAAGGACGAUGGGCCGGACUGCGGGAAAGCCACCGGGAUUGCGGGAAAGGACGAUGGGCCGGACUCCGGGAAAGUCGCGGGGACCGCGGGGAAGGAGGAUGAGCCGGACCACGGGAAAGGAGGAUGGGUCGGACCGCGGGAAAGCCGCCGGGACCGUGGGGAAGCUGCUGGGACSGUGGGGAAGGAGGACGGGCCGGACUGCGGGAAAGCUGCCGGGCACCGGGAGGGGGGACACAGCAGCACAGAGGGACAGACCCAGCUGGCGGCUCUGCCCGCGUUUUCCCCGGCACGUUCAUCCCCGAGCACGAAUCCUCCCGGAGAAGCACGCGGCCCCGUCGCCUCCCGCACAAGCYGUGAGCCCCAUCCUGCCCCCUGCCCCGGGGGGGGCGGCAGGGCUCGGUGCGGGAGCUGGGCGCUGUCCCGCUGUCCCCGUGCCCCCGCUGUCCCCGUCCCCCCGUGUCGCCUC
rnacentral:lncRNA from 1 species